UCCGGUUCAUCACCGGCAGUCUCCUUAGAGUCCCCAACUUAAUGAUGGCAACUAAGGACAAGGGUUGCGCUCGUUACGGGACUUAACCCAACAUCUCACAACACGAGCUGACGACAGCCAUGCAGCACCUGUCUCUACAUUCCUUUCGGCACUCCAGCCUCUCAGCCAGAUUCGUAGGAUGUCAAGAGUAGGUAAGGUUCUUCGCGUUGCAUCGAAUUAAACCACAUGCUCCACCGCUUGUGCGGGCCCCCGUCAAUUCAUUUGAGUUUCAACCUUGCGGCCGUACUCCCCAGGCGGAAUACUUAUCGUGUUAACUUCAAUACCGAUAGGUUCCCCUACCAACAUUUAGUAUUCAUCGUUUACAGCGUGGACUAC
rnacentral:misc_RNA from 1 species